rnacentral:rRNA from 1 species
GAUGAACGCUGGCGGCGUGCCUAAUACAUGCAAGUCGAGCGAACGGACGAGAAGCUUGCUUCUCUGAUGUUAGCGGCGGACGGGUGAGUAACACGUGGAUAACCUACCUAUAAGACUGGGAUAACUUCGGGAAACCGGAGCUAAUACCGGAUAAUAUUUUGAACCGCAUGGUUCAAAAGUGAAAGACGGUCUUGCUGUCACUUAUAGAUGGAUCCGCGCUGCAUUAGCUAGUUGGUAAGGUAACGGCUUACCAAGGCAACGAUGCAUAGCCGACCUGAGAGGGUGAUCGGCCACACUGGAACUGAGACACGGUCCAGACUCCUACGGGAGGCAGCAGUAGGGAAUCUUCUGCAAUGGGCGAAAGCCUGACGGAGCAACGCCGCGUGAGUGAUGAAGGUCUUCGGAUCGUAAAACUCUGUUAUUAGGGAAGAACAUAUGUGUAAGUAACUGUGCACAUCUUGACGGUACCUAAUCAGAAAGCCACGGCUAACUACGUGCCAGCAGCCGCGGUAAUACGUAGGUGGCAAGCGUUAUCCGGAAUUAUUGGGCGUAAAGCGCGCGUAGGCGGUUUUUUAAGUCUGAUGUGAAAGCCCACGGCUCAACCGUGGAGGGUCAUUGGAAACUGGAAAACUUGAGUGCAGAAGAGGAAAGUGGAAUUCCAUGUGUAGCGGUGAAAUGCGCAGAGAUAUGGAGGAACACCAGUGGCGAAGGCGACUUUCUGGUCUGUAACUGACGCUGAUGUGCGAAAGCGUGGGGAUCAAACAGG